rnacentral:rRNA from 1 species
AUCCAGACUCCUACGGGAGGCAGCAGUGGGGGAUAUUGCACAAUGGGGGGAACCCUGAUGCAGCGACGCCGCGUGGGUGAAGAAGCGCCUCGGCGCGUAAAGCCCUGUCAGCAGGGAAGAAAAUGACGGUACCUGAAGAAGAAGCCCCGGCUAACUACGUGCCAGCAGCCGCGGUAAUACGUAGGGGGCAAGCGUUAUCCGGAUUUACUGGGUGUAAAGGGGGCGCAGACGGCAGCGCAAGCCAGGAGCGAAAGCCCGGGGCCCAAGCCCGGGACUGCUCUUGGAACUGCGCGGCUGGAGUGCAGGAGGGGCAGGCGGAAUUCCUGGUGUAGCGGUGAAAUGCGUAGAGAUAAGGAGGAACACCAGUGGCGAAGGCGGUCUGCUGGACAGCAACUGACGGUGAGGCGCGAAAGCGUGGGGAGCAAACAGGAUUAGAUACCCUCGUAC